rnacentral:rRNA from 1 species
UACGGGGGGGGCAAGCGUUGUUCGGAAUUACUGGGCGUAAAGGGCUCGUAGGUGGCCAACUAAGUCAGACGUGAAAUCCCCAGGCUCAACUUGGGAACUGCGUCUGAUACUGGAUGGCUUGAAUUCGGGAGAGGGAUGCAGAAUUCCAGGUGUAGCGGUGAAAUGCGUAGAUCUGUAGAGUACCACCAAAAGGCGAAGGCAAUUAACUAUUCCAUUUCUGACGUUGAGGCAUGAAAGCGUGGGGAGCAAACCGG